UACGGGGGGAGCAAGCGUUGUUCGGAUUUACUGGGCGUAAAGGGCGCGUAGGCGGCCUGUGCAAGUCAGUUGUGAAAUCUCCGAGCUUAACUCGGAACGGUCAACUGAUACUGCUCGGCUAGAGUGCGGAAGGGGCGACUGGAAUUCUUGGUGUAGCGGUGAAAUGCGUAGAUAUCAAGAGGAACACCUGCGGCGAAGGCGGGUUGCUGGGCCGACACUGACGCUGAGGCGCGAAAGCUAGGGGAGCGAACGGG
rnacentral:rRNA from 1 species